rnacentral:rRNA from 1 species
AGAGCGAACGCUGGCGGCGUGCUUAACACAUGCAAGUCGAACGAGGUCUGUAGCAAUACAGAUACUCGUGGCGAACGGGUGCGUAACACGUGGAUAACCUUCCUUCAGGUGGGGAAUAACCCAGUGAAAAUUGGGCUAAUACCGCAUAACAUGACGAUGCCACAUGGUGUUGUCUUCAAAGGCGCAAGUCGCCAGAAGAGGGAUCCGCGGCCGAUUAGCUAGUUGGCGAGGUAAUGGCUCACCAAGGCAAUGAUCGGUAGCCGGACUGAGAGGUUGGCCGGCCACACUGGAACUGAGACACGGUCCAGACUCCUACGGGAGGCAGCAGUGGGGAAUCUUGCACAAUGGACGAAAGUCUGAUGCAGCAACGCCGCGUGGGGGAUGAAGCUUUUCGGAGUGUAAACCCCUUUCGACCCGGAAGAAAGCCCGCAAGGGUUUGACGGUACGGGUAUAAGAAGCCCCGGCUAACUACGUGCCAGCAGCCGCGGUAA